rnacentral:rRNA from 1 species
CUUCUCUUGAGAGCGGCGGACGGGUGAGUAAUACCUAGGAAUCUGCCUGAUAGUGGGGGAUAACGUUCGGAAACGGACGCUAAUACCGCAUACGUCCUACGGGAGAAAGCAGGGGACCUUCGGGCCUUGCGCUAUCAGAUGAGCCUAGGUCGGAUUAGCUAGUUGGUGAGGUAAUGGCUCACCAAGGCUACGAUCCGUAACUGGUCUGAGAGGAUGAUCAGUCACACUGGAACUGAGACACGGUCCAGACUCCUACGGGAGGCAGCAGUGGGGAAUAUUGGACAAUGGGCGAAAGCCUGAUCCAGCCAUGCCGCGUGUGUGAAGAAGGUCUUCGGAUUGUAAAGCACUUUAAGUUGGGAGGAAGGGCAUUAACCUAAUACGUUGGUGUCUUGACGUUACCGACAGAAUAAGCACCGGCUAACUCUGUGCCAGCAGCCGCGGUAAUACAGAGGGUGCAAGCGUUAAUCGGAAUUACUGGGCGUAAAGCGCGCGUAGGUGGUUUGUUAAGUUGAAUGUGAAAUCCCCGGGCUCAACCUGGGAACUGCAUCCAAAACUGGCAAGCUAGAGUAUGGUAGAGGGUAGUGGAAUUUCCUGUGUAGCGGUGAAAUGCGUAGAUAUAGGAAGGAACACCAGUGGCGAAGGCGACUACCUGGACUGAUACUGACACUGAGGUGCG